rnacentral:rRNA from 1 species
GAUGAACGCUGGCGGCGUGCUUAACACAUGCAAGUCGAGCGAUGAAGUUUCCUUCGGGAAACGGAUUAGCGGCGGACGGGUGAGUAACACGUGGGUAACCUGCCUCAUAGAGUGGAAUAGCCUUCCGAAAGGAAGAUUAAUACCGCAUAAUGUUGAAAGAUGGCAUCAUCAUUCAACCAAAGGAGCAAUCCGCUAUGAGAUGGACCCGCGGCGCAUUAGCUAGUUGGUGGGUAACGGCCUACCAAGGCGACGAUGCGUAGCCGACCUGAGAGGGUGAUCGGCCACAUUGGGACUGAGACACGGCCCAGACUCCUACGGGAGGCAGCAGUGGGGAAUAUUGCACAAUGGGGGAAACCCUGAUGCAGCAACGCCGCGUGAGUGAUGAAGGUUUUCGGAUCGUAAAGCUCUGUCUUUGGGGAAGAUAAUGACGGUACCCAAGGAGGAAGCCACGGCUAACUACGUGCCAGCAGCCGCGGUAAUAGUGUGUGUAC